UAACAUAAAUUCUUAUGAGCGGUCGAAA
rnacentral:sRNA from 1 species